CCCAUUCUUUGCAAAUGUUAUUUCUUAGUUUUACUCAGAUUUGCACGUACAAUAAUCUAGUUCUUAUGCAAUUACUGGAGGAUUGGGAGGCUUUGUCGCAUGCAGAGCACUGUCACAAAGAAACAAUGAUCCGACCAAAGCAUCACGCCCUUGGGAUAGUAACCGUGAUGGCUUUGUUAUGGGGGAAGGAGCUGGCGUUUUGCAUCUAGAAGAGUUAGAACAUGCUAAG